ACUCAAAUGAAUUGACGGGGGCCCGCACAAGCAGCGGAGCGUGUGGUUUAAUUCGAGGUUACGCGAAGAACCUUACCAGGGUUUGACAUGCAAGUAGUAGUGAAGCGAAAGCGGAACGACCCUUCGGGGAGCUUGCACAGGUGAUGCAUGGCUGUCGUCAGCUCGUGCCGUGAGGUGUUUGGUUAAGUCCAGUAACGAGCGCAACCCUUACCGUCAGUUACACGUAUCUGGCGGGACUGCCGGUAUCAAGCCGGAGGAAGGUGGGGAUGACGUCAAGUCAGCAUGUCCUUUAUAUCCUGGGCUACACACACGCUACAAUGGCCGGUACAAUGGGUUGCCAAGCCGCGAGGCGGAGCCAAUCCUCCAAAGCCGGUCUCAGUUCGGAUCGCAGGCUGCAACCCGCCUGCGUGAAGUCGGAGUUGCUAGUAAACGCAGGACAGCUAUACUGCGUUGAAUACGUUCCCGGGCCUUGUACACACCGCCCGU
rnacentral:rRNA from 1 species